rnacentral:tRNA from 1 species
UGGCUCAGACAGUAAAGCGUCUGUCUGCAAUACAGGAGACCCGGGUUCAAUCCCUGG